rnacentral:rRNA from 1 species
UACGUAGGGGGCAAGCGUUGUCCGGAUUUAUUGGGCGUAAAGAGCGUGUAGGCGGUCAGGUAGGUCCGUUGUGAAAACUCGAGGCUCAACCUCGAGACGCCGAUGGAAACCAUCUGACUAGAGUCCGGAAGAGGAGAGUGGAAUUCCUGGUGUAGCGGUGAAAUGCGCAGAUAUCAGGAAGAACACCCGUGGCUAAGGCGGCUUCCUGGCCUGUAACUGACGCUGAGACGCGAAAGCGUGGGGAGCGAACCGG